AGGCUUAACACAUGCAAGUCGAGGGGCAGCACAGGUAGCAAUACCGGGUGGCGACCGGCGCACGGGUGAGUAACGCGUAUGCAACUUACCUAUCAGAGGGGGAUAACCCGGCGAAAGUCGGACUAAUACCGCAUGAAGCAGGGGCCCCGCAUGGGGAUAUUUGCUAAAGAUUCAUCGCUGAUAGAUAGGCAUGCGUUCCAUUAGGCAGUUGGCGGGGUAACGGCCCACCAAACCGACGAUGGAUAGGGGUUCUGAGAGGAAGGUCCCCCACAUUGGUACUGAGACACGGACCAAACUCCUACGGGAGGCAGCAGUGAGGAAUAUUGGUCAAUGGCCGAGAGGCUGAACCAGCCAAGUCGCGUGAGGGAUGAAGGUUCUAUGGAUCGUAAACCUCUUUUAUAAGGGAAUAAAGUGCGGGACGUGUCCCGUUUUGUAUGUACCUUAUGAAUAAGGAUCGGCUAACUCCGUGCCAGCAGCCGCGGUAAUACGGAGGAUCCGAGCGUUAUCCGGAUUUAUUGGGUUUAAAGGGUGCGUAGGCGGCCUUUUAAGUCAGCGGUGAAAGUCUGUGGCUCAACCAUAGAAUUGCCGUUGAAACUGGGGGGCUUGAGUAUGUUUGAGGCAGGCGGAAUGCGUGGUGUAGCGGUGAAAUGCAUAGAUAUCACGCAGAACCCCGAUUGCGAAGGCAGCCUGCCAAGCCAUUACUGACGCUGAUGCACGAAAGCGUGGGGAUCAAACAGGAUUAGAUACCCUGGUAGUCCACGCAGUAAACGAUGAUCACUAGCUGUUUGCGAUACACUGUAAGCGGCACAGCGAAAGCGUUAAGUGAUCCACCUGGGGAGUACGCCGGCAACGGUGAAACUCAAAGGAAUUGACGGGGGCCCGCACAAGCGGAGGAACAUGUGGUUUAAUUCGAUGAUACGCGAGGAACCUUACCCGGGUUUGAACGCAUUCGGACCGAGGUGGAAACACCUUUUCUAGCAAUAGCCGUUUGCGAGGUGCUGCAUGGUUGUCGUCAGCUCGUGCCGUGAGGUGUCGGCUUAAGUGCCAUAACGAGCGCAACCCUUGCCACUAGUUACUAACAGGUGAUGCUGAGGACUCUGGUGGGACUGCCAGCGUAAGCUGCGAGGAAGGCGGGGAUGACGUCAAAUCAGCACGGCCCUUACAUCCGGGGCGACACACGUGUUACAAUGGCGUGGACAAAGGGAGGCCACCUGGCGACAGGGAGCGAAUCCCCAAACCACGUCUCAGUUCGGAUCGGAGUCUGCAACCCGACUCCGUGAAGCUGGAUUCGCUAGUAAUCGCGCAUCAGCCAUGGCGCGGUGAAUACGUUCCCGGGCCUUGUACACACCGCCCGUCAAGCCAUGGGAGCCGGGGGUACCUGAAGUCCGUAACCGAAAGGAUCGGCCUAGGGUAAAACUGGUGACUGGGGCUAAGUCGU
rnacentral:rRNA from 1 species